UUCCAUGGUCUGGCAAGAUUGAAAUGUUCAGUCACACACUACAGACCCAGGCUAGAGUCUUCGAGGGACCGUGGUAUGUGUGGUGAUCCUGGAAGAUUGAAAGGGUCGCGUCACCUUAAGUUUCAUACAUACACGAUGUGUGCCCUGAUGGGACUGGACUUUCACUGAGUGCAUCAUGAUACAGAUGACCUCAGCAGACCUUUCUUGGGGACUACCACAGCGAUCCCGUGUCAGGGACAAGGAGCGAGAGAAUUCAUUUGUGAUUUGCCAUUGAAUUGUUGAGGCUCUUUGAUCAGGCCACAGGAAAUCUAACCACUGUGGACCCUGGCGGAACACAGAAGACAAUCAGUCCUCAUUUGAGUCCUACUUGUUUUUAUGUCCCGUGAAGCUACAGGGUUCUGAUACUUUCAGAAACACCUGCCUCCUACUUCCCCCCUCUCCCCCCAAGCAGAGAGGAUCCAAGUACGGAAUCUCUUGACCCAGUGUAGAUACUUCAAGGCAGA
rnacentral:lncRNA from 1 species